GGGGCGGGUCGGGCAAUCGCGGUGCGCAAGCAUCGAGGAAGGUCCGGACUCCGCAGGGCAGGGUAGCGGCUAACGGCCGUCCGGCGUCGCGGCGCGCAAGCGCCGUCAAGCCGAGGAACAGGGCCACAGAGACGAGUCUGCGGCGAGGGCCUUUCGGGGCACCGGUACGGCCAUCUCCGUACCGCGUGGCGAUCCGUCGCCAUGGCGCCGCAGGGUGAAACGCGGCAACCUCUACCCGGAGCAACAUCAAAUAGGCAUGCGCAGGCGCUUCGGCGCCGAAAGGGCGGCCCGUCCGAGCAUGCGGGUAGAUGGCACGAGCGCGGCAGCAAUGACGCGCCCAGAUGAAUGAUUGCCCGCCGGGCUUCCGGCGUACAGAAUCCGGCCUACAGAUCCGCCUCACUC
rnacentral:RNase_P_RNA from 1 species